rnacentral:rRNA from 1 species
UACGUAGGGUCCGAGCGUUGUCCGGAAUUACUGGGCGUAAAGAGCUCGUAGGUGGUUUGUCGCGUUGUUCGUGAAAACUCACAGCUUAACUGUGGGCGUGCGGGCGAUACGGGCAGACUUGAGUACUGCAGGGGAGACUGGAAUUCCUGGUGUAGCGGUGAAAUGCGCAGAUAUCAGGAGGAACACCGAUGGCGAAGGCAGGUCUCUGGGCUGUAACUGACGCUGAGGAGCGAAAGCAUGGGGAGCGAACAGG